rnacentral:rRNA from 1 species
AGCAGCCGCGGUAAUUCCAGCUCCAAUAGCGUAUAUUAAAGUUGCUGCAGUUAAAAAGCUCGUAGUUGAAUUUCGGGACUAAUAUGUUGGUCGUGCCUCGGUACGUACUGAUAUUUUUGGUUUCUCCCUUCUGACGAACCUUGAUGUCAUUAAUUUGGUGUCUUGGGAAAUCAGGACUGUUACUUUGAAAAAAUUAGAGUGUUUAAAAGCAGGCUCACGCUUGAAUACAUUAGCAUGGAAUAAUGAAAUAGGACGUUUGAUUCUAUUUUGUGGUUUCUAGGAUUGACGUAAUGAUUAAUAGGGAUAGUUGGGGGCAUUAGUAUUCAAUUGUCAGAGGUGAAAUUCUUGGAUUUAUUGAAGACUAACUACUGCGAAAGCAUUUGCCAAGGAUGUUUUCAUUAAUCUAAGAACGAAAGUUAGGGGAUCGAAGACGAUCAGAUACCGUCGUAGUCUUAACCAUAAACUAUGCCGACUAGGGAUCGGAUGAUGUUAAUUUUUAAUGACUCAUUCGGCGCCUUAC